rnacentral:lncRNA from 1 species
UAGAUUUGGUCUUUUCACAUAGUCCCAUAUUUCUUGGAGACUUUGGUCAUUUCUUUUUAUUCUUUUUUCUCCAACCCAGCAGGUGAGUUUGAGGAACAUGAAGGAGACCUGUGUGGGGAGCCACUGGAGGGUUUUUGAGAAGGAAAGCAAUGUGAUCUGGGUUCAUUUUUGUUUGUUUGUUUGUUUGCUUUGGGAGGCUGAGGAGGGGAGAUCGCUUGAGCCCAGGAGUUCAAGACCAGCCUGGGCAAUAUGGCGAAACCCCGUCUUUACUAUAAAUACAAAAAAUUAGCCAGGCAUGGUGGAGCACACCUGUAGUCCCAGCUACUCGGGAGGCAGAGGUGGGAGGAUGGGUUGAGCCUGGGAAGUCGAGGCUGCAGGGAGCCAACAACUCCUCUUAGAUUUGUCAGAGAAGUGAGCUCACAGGGCUAAAUGCUGCUCCAAAAAUGGUCAGGUGAAUAUAGAGCAUCACAGCUUACUAGAGCAAAAACCCACAACCAGAAACUUCUGCAGGAAGCAGUGCUGGGGUAAGAAAACAUAAGCUCUAAUUGACAAAUUGCUGGAGGCUCAGUGUGGAAAAAUCUAACAGUUAAAAAAUCCAGGAAGACUUAGUCAUGGAAGGGGGUAGAGGGUAGAGGUGUACCAUUUAUGUUUUAUUAUCUCCAGGGUCUCUAUCAGGUCCUCACAGUGAAUACUGGAGAAAAGUCACCUUGUGCUUUUGGCAAGGGGAAGGGAAAAGAAUCCAUUUUGAACUAUGCCAAACCAUUCUGUUCUUAAUAUGGCUUACUAUCAUGAGAAUUAACUUACCAGAGCCUAACCUGAGGGCUUUUAUCAGAGCCCAAUCUACCUGGAGGAAGGGAAAUAUCUACCUCCAGUCCCUGUAGCCAUCCCGCCCCACCUAAGGGGGAAGUAGGACUGAGAAGCACUAGUGAAGUUUACAGUCCAGGCACAGAGGCUAAAAAAUAGCUGAGACCUAAUCACAGGGCUACAGAACAAUUCCCCUUCUCCCAUACCUCACCACCAUAUUAACUAAAGGCCCAUCUACCACAGUUCCUUUUAUCCAGCGCAUCAUGCCUACCUUUCAACAAAAAAUUACAAAGCACACUAAAAGGCAAAAAACACAGUUUGAAAAGACUGAACAAGCAAGAAACCAGAGUCAUAGAUGGCCAUGAUGUGAGAAUUAUCAGGCAAGGAAUUUUUUUUUAAUUAUACUUUAAGUUUUAGGGUACAUGUGCACAAUGUGCAGGUUAGUUACAUAUGUUGUGCUGCACCCAUUAACUCGUCAUUUAGCAUUAGGUGUAUCUCCUCAUGCUAUCCUUUCCCCCACCCCACAACAGUUCCCAGAGUGUGAUGUUCCCCUUCAUGUGUCCAUGUGUUCUCAUUGUUCAAUUCCCACCUAUGAGUGAGAAUAUGCAGUGUUUGGUUUUUUGUUCUUGCGAUAAUUUACUGAGAAUGAUGGUUUCCAGUUUCAUCCAUGUCCCUACAAAGAGGGAUGAAACCCACUUGAUCAUGGUGGAUAAGCUUAUUGAUGUGCUGCUGGAUUUAGUUUGCCAGUAUUUUAUUGAGGAUUUUUGCAUCAAUGUUCAUCAAGGAUAUUGGUCUAAAAUUCUCUUUUUUUGUUGUGUCUCUGCCCAGCUUUGCUAUCAGGAUGAUGCUGGCCUCAUAAAAUGAGUUAGGGAGGAUUCCCUCUUUUUCUAUUGAUUGGAAUAGUUUCAGAAGGAAUGGUACCAAUUCCUCCUUGUACCUCUGGUAGAAUUCGACUGUGAAUCCAUCUGGUCCUGGACUCUUUUUGGUUGGUAAGCUAUUGAUUAUUGCCACAAUUUCAGAGCCUGUUAUUGGUCUAUUCAGAGAUUCAACUUCUUCCUGGUUUAGUCUUGG